CUACGGGUUGCAGCAGUGGGGAAUAUUGGACAAUGGACCAAAAGUCUGAUCCAGCAAUUCUGUGUGUUUGAUGAAGGCCUUCGGGUUGUAAAGAACUUUAAGUAGGGAAGAAGAAAGUGACGGUACCUACAGAAUAAGCGACGGCUAAAUACGUGCCAGCAGCCGCGGUAAUACGUAUGUCGCAAGCGUUAUCCGGAAUUAUUGGGCAUAAAGCGCGUCUAGGCGGUUUACUAAGUCUGAUGUGAAAAUGCGGGGCUCAACUCCGUAUUGCGUUGGAAACUGGUAGACUAGAGUAUUGGAGAGGUAGGCGGAACUACAAGUGUAGAGGUGAAAUUCGUAGAUAUUUGUAGGAAUGCCAAUGACGAAGGUAGCUUACUGGACAAAUACUGACGCUGAAGCGCGAAAGCUAGGGGAGCAAACAGGAUUAGAUACCCGCGUAGUC
rnacentral:rRNA from 1 species